ensembl:lncRNA
CGAAAAGAGAAGCCGGUAUGAAGGGAGUUGAAGUCAGGAUCCGAGAGUCGUCGACAAGCUGGAGAGAGUGGUGUAGAUGUGGUGUCUAGGUAGCAUCUCGUUUUAUCGAUUUUGUUGCACUUAUUUGUAGGAGAUAAGGGAGUAAUUCUGUGUCACUAGUGGAUAUACGUUGGGUUAUGGCUAAAAUGAGUCUUUGGUAUUUGGAAUGUCAGAAUUGAUUUAGGGUUAAGGUGUGGCUCCAUGUAGAAGAGAAUUUAACCAAAGGGUAAAAUCGUUUAAUAGAAUAUGUGCAGAUUUCAUUUAAGAAAUAACCGAGGUUGUAGGCUGUUCGAGGGUAAAAGAGAUUUGCCUUGGUUUUAUGGCAACUGUCGGAGAUGAGUAAGCUUUUUGAAGGAGGAGAGGAAGCAUUGGAUUACACAGCAGUAAUCGCUAGAACAAUGCUAUGAAGUUAACGUUUGUACCAAUGUUGACCCAUUGUAAGUAACCGUUUUAUGAAAUUGAUCAUUGAAGCAUUGGGAAAUGUCAUUCGGAUGUGCUUUUACUUAAAGACCGCAAGUUAACAUGCAGGCCACCGACGGACUGAAUAAUUGAGAGUUGACGGAACGACAUAGGGCGUGUGCGAGCAGUGUAGUCCAGUCGGACGAUCUUCAGCUCAGAAUUUGAGGAUGUCUUUUUAGUUAUUUAUGCACGAUGGAGAAUCACAUAAACCUAAAGCUUUCUAUCAAGUUUCUUUCCGCGAGAAAGGGCAAGUUACUGAGGGAUUUCAUAGCAAAUGUGUUCGUGGAAAAAUUCACACAAAGAUGCAUAGAAUCAAGCAUCAGGAGGAAGCGAGUCAUUGACGCCAGUCUGCUAAAGGGGUAAGUCUGUCCAGCAGCGGUAGCCGGGAGAGGACAGGGAGUGGCCCAUGAUGGCGUCGCCCGGGGUAGAACAGGGAGUGGGCCAUGAUGGAGUCGCCCGGGGAAGGCCGUGCUCACUGGCUGACCCGCAGCAGUUCUUCACUGGCAAGCUUUAUGUUCUUGUGUACCAGCUAAAGCUGCCAGCUGAAGAACUGUUGUGGUUGGCUCUUUCCCUGCACACCCUCCCCUCCCACUCCAACCCCCCCACCACCACCACCAGUGCCCCCGGUGCCCCACUCUGCUGCAGAGAGCUGGAGGAGUGAGAGGCUCCAGGCCUUGGGGGAAAUGGAGCUGCAGCUGAAGAGUAGGGCUGCUCUCUGCUCGCUGAGCCUCGAUCAGACCUGACAUCAGACACAACCCAUCCAUCUCUCCCACCCACCCCUCUCUCUCUCUCUCUCUCUCUCUCUCUCUCUCUCUCUCUCUCUCUCUCUCUCCUCUACCCACCCUGCCCUCCUCACUCACGCUGGCCUGGCCAUCUCUCUAACUGGCUGAGCAUUUUUGCUCGGGCAUAAACAAAGGCAACUGGGCAGGGCCCGUGCUGACUCAGCCACAUUCCACACCCUGGUCACGUCCUCCCACCCUGCCCUUAUUUGGGCGCGGAGUAGGGCAGGGGGCUGCAUGAUGCUUUUACAAUGCAAACAGGAACCGGCAGCCUCCAUACAUCUCUGUCUCCUUCCCUCUCUCUCUGUCGCUCGCUCGCUCGCUUGCUCGCUCUCUCUCUCGCUCCCUCCCUCUCUGUCUCUCUCUCUCUCUCUCUCUAGCUCUCUCUGUCCCUCCCCCUCUCUGCUCUCCUUUCGCCUCGUCUCUCUUCUCUGGCUCAUGGAGGAAGAGACGAGGAUUAGGCGACUCCUUCACUAGCUCUCUUCCUCUUCCUCCCCCCUCUGUCCCCCUGGGCCUCAGACAGUGACUGUGACAUGUGUUUCUGUUUAUUAGUUAAGUCACAGCGUUCUGCCAGAAAGUCGAUGAAAAACACUGGCUGGACAUGGAACCAAAGCCCAAAUUCUCUUUUUUGUAAUUUUCAUUGUUUUAUUUAAUUUUUUUGUUUUGUUCUCCUGCCUUGUGGUCUGAAUGCCUUUGUUGUUUUUUUGUUGUUGUUGUGGAGUUUUGUUUGUUCAGGCUGAAUGUGCCGUGUGCCCCUGAAACAGCCGUCAUAGUUCGGCGCGCUCGCACACACACACACGCGCACACACACACGUUCAUGCCACAGAGGCCGACCGGCCCUCGAACGCGUCGUAAAUCGCACUUCAAGGGCAAAAGCCGGCGCCGAAAACAGGAUAUGAAAAAGUGGCCUGCUGGAAAGUGCCAAGCCAGAUGAACACAAAGGUAGGGAAUGUUCUCGCUAGAUACCAGAUGCCCCGCUGGAACCCAGUCAAGGAAAGAGCCAGACUUUGACUUAAAUUGACUGGACAUUGAAUGGACAAAGUAGUUCUGUAGGUGUGAGUACUAGCCACGAGUACAGUGUAGUCAAAGAAUCUUUUCUCCAAAGAAAAGAUGCACAAAUGAUCUCUUAAAAUCAUUUAGCUCGCCCUUUCUUUGUUUCUUUAUUCUUCCUUUUUUCCCUUUCUCUUCUCUCC